rnacentral:rRNA from 1 species
AGAGUUUGAUCCUGGCUCAGGACGAACGCUGGCGGCGUGCUUAACACAUGCAAGUCGAACGGAAAGGCCUGCCACCUUUGGUGGUGGGUACUCGAGUGGCGAACGGGUGAGUAACACGUGGGUGAUCUGCCCCGCACUGUGGGAUAAGCCUGGGAAACUGGGUCUAAUACCACAUACGACCAUGGCGUAGGGGUCAUGGUGGAAAGCCUUGUGCGGUGUGGGAUGAGCCCGCGGCCUAUCAGCUUGUUGGUGGGGUAAUGGCCUACCAAGGCGGCGACGGGUAGCCGGCCUGAGAGGGUGGACGGCCACAUUGGGACUGAGACACGGCCCAGACUCCUACGGGAGGCAGCAGUGGGGAAUAUUGCACAAUGGGCGCAAGCCUGAUGCAGCGACGCCGCGUGGGGGAUGAAGGCCUUCGGGUUGUAAACUCCUUUCGCCCGGGACGAAGCCCACCUGGUGGGUGACGGUACCGUGGAGAAGAAGCACCGGCUAACUACGUGCCAGCAGCCGCGGUAAUACGUAGGGUGCAAGCGUUGUCCGGAUUUACUGGGCGUAAAGAGCUCGUAGGUGGUGUGUCGCGUCGUCUGUGAAAUUCCGGGGCUUAACUCCGGGCGUGCAGGCGAUACGGGCACGACUAGAGUGCUGUAGGGGUAACUGGAAUUCCUGGUGUAGCGGUGAAAUGCGCAGAUAUCAGGAGGAACACCGAUGGCGAAGGCAGGUUACUGGGCAGUUACUGACGCUGAGGAGCGAAAGCAUGGGGAGCGAACAGGAUUAGAUACCCUGGUAGUCCAUGCUGUAAACGGUGGGCGCUAGGUGUGGGCUGUGUGUUUGCAGUCUGUGCCGUAGCUAACGCAUUAAGCGCCCCGCCUGGGGAGUACGGCCGCAAGGCUAAAACUCAAAGGAAUUGACGGGGGC